rnacentral:rRNA from 1 species
UACGGGGGGAGCAAGCGUUGUUCGGAUUUACUGGGCGUAAAGGGCGCGUAGGCGGCCUGUGCAAGUCAGUUGUGAAAUCUCCGAGCUUAACUCGGAACGGUCAACUGAUACUGCUCGGCUAGAGUGCGGAAGGGGCAACUGGAAUUCUUGGUGUAGCGGUGAAAUGCGUAGAUAUCGAGAGGAACACCUGCGGCGAAGGCGGGUUGCUGGGCCGACACUGACGCUGAGGCGCGAAAGCUAGGGGAGCGAACGGG